GACGAACGCUGGCGGCGUGCUUAACACAUGCAAGUCGAACGGAAAGGCCCUGCUUUUGUGGGUUGCUUGUGUGCCGAACGGGUGAGUAACACGUGAGUAUCCUGCCCUUGACUUUGGGAUAUCUUUUGGAGACUGCGGCUAUUACCGGAUAGGAGCUCCUGCUGCAUGGGGGGGGUUGGAAAGUUUCGGCGGUUGGGGCUAGACUCGCGGCUUAUCCGCUUGUUUGUGUGGUAGUGGCUUACCAAGGCUUUGACGGAUAGCCGGCCUGAGAGGGUGACCGGCCACAUUGGGACUGAGAUACGGCCCAGAAGCCUACGGGAGGCAGCAGUGGGGAACAUUGCACAAUGGGCGGAAGCCUGAGGCAGCAACGCCGCGUGCGUGAUGACGGCCUUCGGGUUGUAAACCGCUGUCGCCUGUGACGAAGCGUGAGUGACGGUAAUGGGUAAAGAAGCACCGGCUAACUACGUG
rnacentral:rRNA from 1 species